UUAAACACCGUCUCCAUUACGAUCACUGCAGUUAAGUAACAUCGAGCCUGGUCAGUACCUAGAUGGAUGAGCGCUUGGGAAUACCAGGUGCUGUAAG